CCACAUUUUAAAUAGUCCAACCAUCAUUUUAAACAAUACAUUUCAGAUUACAUAAACUGCCUACUUCUCACUGUGUUUUCACAAACUAAAACCACAAAAAUUCCCACAUUUUCAACAACACAAAUUCUCACAUUUCUAACACCAAAUUAGUCCCACAUCAGUUUUCAAAUUGCCAUUCCAAAUUGCCCGCUUCUCGCCGACCAUGUUGUCGAACAUGGUUUGUGACUCUAUUUCAAUCUGGGUACAUUUCUCUGCAUUAUAGGAAGAAGAUGAAAUUAAAUAUUUAUAGAUGCUUCUCAUUUAUUAUAUAAGAUCAAAUUUGAGAUCAAAUGUCAAAGAAAAAAAAUAUCGUUCUUGCUGUUUUCUUCAAUUUCGUUGGCUUCCAUAGCAGAUAAGGAGAAGAAAUUGGUUCUUUCUGUCGGUUUGGGUUGCGUCUGGGUCGAAGUUGGGUCAGAGGAGCUUGGGCUCGACAAGUGGGGAGUGAGAAAUG
rnacentral:lncRNA from 1 species